rnacentral:rRNA from 1 species
GAUGAACGCUGGCUGUGUGCCUAAUACAUGCAUGUCGAGCGAAAGUAGCAAUACUUUAGCGGCGAAUGGGUGAGUAACACGUACUCAACGUACCCUUCAGUUUGGGAUAGUGGUUGGAAACAGCCAAUAAUACCAAAUACCUGUAUUUUUCGCAUGAAAGAUACAUAAAAGAUCCGUUUGGAUCGCUGGAGGAGCGGGGUGCGCAACAUUAGCUAGUUGGUGAGGUAACGGCCCACCAAGGCGAUGAUGUUUAGCGGGGUUGAGAGACUGAACCGCCACACUGGGACUGAGAUACGGCCCAGACUCCUACGGGAGGCAGCAGUAGGGAAUAUUCCACAAUGAACGAAAGUUUGAUGGAGCGACACAGCGUGCAGGAUGAAGGUCCUAUGGAUUGUAAACUGCUGUGGUAAGGGAAGAAAAAACAGUGUAGGAAAUGACAUUGUAUUGACGGUACCUUAUUAGAAAGCAACGGCUAACUAUGUGCCAGCAGCCGCGGUAAUACAUAGGUUGCAAGCGUUAUCCGGAAUUAUUGGGCGUAAAGCGUCUGUAGGUUGUUUGUUAAGUCUGGCGUCAAAUUUUGGGGCUCAACCCCAAAUCGCGUUGGAUACUGGCAGACUAGAGUUAUGUAGAGGUUAGCGGAAUUCCUUGUGAAGCGGUGAAAUGCGUAGAUAUAAGGAAGAACACCAAUAUGGCGAAGGCAGCUAACUGGACAUAUACUGACACUGAGAGACGAAAGCGUGGGGAGCAAACAGGAUUAGAUACCCUGGAUAGUCCACGCCCUAAACGAUGACCAUUAGUUGGUGGAGAAUUCACCGACGCAGCUAACGCAU